rnacentral:lncRNA from 1 species
UUCCACUUUCCCAUCACCCUAUGUUCAUAAAUACCACUUACUCUCAUCCACUCUCUCUAACAACAACAAUCAUGUCUCGUCAUCGACGCCAACAAUCACAAGUCCUUCCACCGGAGAUUCUCUCCGCCGACGAAAACCUUCCUAUGUCAUUUGACUUCUCUCAGAUCACUUCCAAUCAAGAAACUAGUGGAACCACUACACCCACCACCACCACCACCACCACCACCACCCAAGGCUCCAAACAGACCCCUCCGACGAAUCCUCCUCCUCCGGCCACCACAAACAAACCGCCGCCUGCCAAAUCACACUGAAUAUCAGUGUCUCCGCUUCUUCUGCUGCACUUUAUUAUGUCUAUGUCUUCAAUUUUCUUGUUUUUUCUUCUUCAUGUUUCUUUUGUUUUUCACAUAACAGUAGAGAACGAAGCUCAUGUCUAGUAGCUAGGUCUUAUAAUGCAAUCAUCUUGAUCUAUCUAUGAAAUGAAAAUGACUUCUUUUUAUUUAUUUAUUUAUUAGUAAUGGUUAUAUGUUCUCUGCAUAAUAUUAAGAUUGUUUGCAUUGUGAUUUGGAGUUCAUCGGCCGGAAACAAUAUAUUUGUCG